rnacentral:rRNA from 1 species
GAUGAACGCUGGCGGCGUGCCUAAUACAUGCAAGUCGAGCGAACAGACGAGGAGCUUGCUCCUCUGACGUUAGCGGCGGACGGGUGAGUAACACGUGGAUAACCUACCUAUAAGACUGGGAUAACUUCGGGAAACCGGAGCUAAUACCGGAUAACAUGUUGAACCGCAUGGUUCAACAGUGAAAGACGGUCUCGCUGUCACUUAUAGAUGGAUCCGCGCCGCAUUAGCUAGUUGGUAAGGUAACGGCUUACCAAGGCAACGAUGCGUAGCCGACCUGAGAGGGUGAUCGGCCACACUGGAACUGAGACACGGUCCAGACUCCUACGGGAGGCAGCAGUAGGGAAUCUUCCGCAAUGGGCGAAAGCCUGACGGAGCAACGCCGCGUGAGUGAAGAAGGUCUUCGGAUCGUAAAACUCUGUUAUUAGGGAAGAACAAAUGUGUAAGUAACUAUGCACGUCUUGACGGUACCUAAUCAGAAAGCCACGGCUAACUACGUG